GCCCGGAUGGCGGAAUUGGUAGACGCGCUGGUCUCAAACACCAGUGGAUUAAACUCCGUGUCGGUUCGAUCCCGACUCCGGGUA
rnacentral:tRNA from 2 species